AAAACAUAGCAAUUUACCAUUUAAACCCAUUUUCCAUAAAAUCACACAAUUGUAUAAAACUACUCUAGAUAAUUAAGAUGAUAAUAAGUUCACUCACAGUAUUAUGAGUAAAAAUACUCUUAUUUUCAGUCCGCGGGUAUAGUCCUUUACCCGUAUCUAAUGGCUCACCACCUAGCCAUAAUCCAUGACACAUAUUCCAAUUAAAUUGUGUCUAACAGUCAUAAGCUAUUUCAGGCUCGAUAUAUAUGCAUGAUAUGAAAUGAAAAAUGCACGGGUAGCCAUCUAGACCCGGUAUUGACCUAAGUCGAUUUUUCAUUCGAUAAAUUGGUCAAUGCGUCCAAUUUCACUCUAACUUGCUUCAUUUCUUUUCCAAUCCCUCAAUUCACCAAGCACAACUAAUUAACACACAAUUAGGUAAAAUUUAUCUUCACUUUUCUUCUUGGAACUUUAGGCCAACAAUGGUACACCAACUCCGUGAUUUUUCCUACUUAAUUUUCUCUCCAUAAUUCAUUAAUUCCAACACCAAAAACUAUUAUUUCUUAAUCAAAUCACCUAGAAUAACAUCCCAUUCUUCCUCAUUAUUCACUUAGAGAAUUCGGCUAUUGAUGGGUUCCAAACCUUUGGUGGUUUUCUUCAUUUGUUUUCAUGCUACACAUCAUUAAUCACCUAAAAACACUAACAUACCUAAAAAUCAAACCAAUCCAAUAUCAUUCUCUCUCCAUACCCAUUUUGACCAGCCAUGAAUUCAUCAUGAAAACAUGUAAUUUAACCAUGGAAAUUAAGGGAAAAUGCAUGGGUAAGGUAAAUCACUAGCAAAAUCAAAAAAAUUUUACCUUUGCUUGAUCAAAUCCUUGAAUUCCAACACUUUCUCUUUGAUUUGUCCCACUUAGGGUUUGUU
rnacentral:lncRNA from 1 species